rnacentral:rRNA from 1 species
UACGGAGGGCGCGAGCGUUGUUCGGAAUUACUGGGCGUAAAGCGCGUGUAGGCGGCUUUGUAAGUCGGGUGUGAAAGCCCUCAGCUCAACUGAGGAAGUGCGCCCGAAACUGCAGAGCUUGAGUACCGGAGAGGGUGGCGGAAUUCCCCAAGUAGAGGUGAAAUUCGUAGAUAUGGGGAGGAACACCGGUGGCGAAGGCGGCCACCUGGACGGAUACUGACGCUGAGACGCGAAAGCGUGGGUAGCAAACAGG